GCUGACAUAUCUUGCUUUUGAACUUACCACAUCCCGUCGGAUCUGCGCAGUCAAACACUGUGGCCAAGUCAGUAGUGUGGGGGUGGACCACGCAAAUACUCUGGUGCCCCAGGCU